UUGUGUAAAUAGGCAAAAAUGUUCAUCUGUCAGUGAACUUUAGUGCCCCAAAAUGGCAAAACGGCUGUACAUAGACAAGUAGCUAAAUGUCUUCGGCACUGUCUAUGUUCAGGAAGACGACCAGUCAUGGAGAUUUGAAAAGAUCAGCUCAGAAGGUUGCAGAUCCAAAGAAAGAUUCCGUGACUCGGUUGAAGCACUUGCGAUCUGUGCUUGACAAUUAUGAUACUUUGGAGGCAAAGAAAUUUUUCCAGGAAAACUACUCUCACAUCUAUUACAUAUUCUAUGAUAACUUUGGUGUUGUGGAGCAUGAACUCAAACAAAGAGUGAACAAGGCUCACAGAGAAGAACUGGAUGGAGUUCUGCAUAUCUUUGAAAAAAUUCUGUUCCUCUUACCAGAGUUGAUUCAUAAGAGAUGGAUGUUUCACAGCAUUGGCCGUGUUAUGAAGAAACUGUUGCAUACAAGCAACUCUAUAAAGCUGCGCAGAGAAGGCAUGAAACUGUUCAUCGUCUGGUAUCAGAUUCUGCAGGAGAAUGCUUCCGAAGAGUGUCAUCAGAUAUUUUGGCAGCUGGUGCCAGGACUCGGAGAAGGGCUUCAUCAAAAUAUUCUCAGCCAGAAGGCAACAUCAACUGCAGACACUGGUGUUGGGAUAAUCGCAGCAGGAGAGAUCACUGCCAUUCUACAAGGAUUUGGUGAAAAACUACCCGAGAACUUGACAAAGUAUUUCUUUGAUGCCCUUCUUAGAGUUAUGGUGUCGGAGGUUGUAAAGAUUGAAUGGGUAAACAGGGAGAUGAAAGAAGCGAGUUUUGUUUUUUUAUUCAAUAGGUUUAAGACAUCUUAUCUCUACUGGAUACUACCAAGCUUUAAAAUCAGGGAUAUUUAUGAGCCAGUAUUAGAGUUGCCAAGAAAGCGAACACGACAGGAAGUGGCUCCUUCAGAUCAGUCCGAGAAUACUUCUGGAUGUCGGGAUUCCUUCAUUAGAUGGCUGGCAAACUUUACAAUUUCUGCCAAAAAAAUGGAGUCACAGAGAGCUGUCUAUUCCUCUGGAGUGAUGGAAAGUCCCUUAACAAACCGUGAGGAUGUGCCAGAUGGCCUGGACACCAAGUGUACGUUGUCCGAUAUGGCUGCAGGCCCCGGUGAAAAGGACAUUUCAAGUGCUAAUCGCAGUGCUGAAGACCACAGUCAUUCAGAAUAUGCCAUUGUACGCACCGUGCUGUAUUCAACCAGGGAGAAUGUUAAUAUUAUUCACGAGUGUUUUAGACAGGCACUGCUGUUUUCAUUUGAAAAUUCUGGGGCCAUGAAGAAGGUGGUUGGUGUAUACAAGGAGUGGUUUCAGCAUGAUGAGCGAAGGCCGAUCUUUAUGAUGGAGCCCGGCAACACAGGCGGUGUGUGUGAGUGUGAUUCGUUGUCCGGUACACCGGAAUACCACCACGGUAGUCUGUCGGACAUUGUUGAGGAGGAUGUUUCCUCAGAUGACUCUGUUAGUGCUGGUUUUGCUAUGAAGCCCCAUCAGUUGAAUGUCACAGACGGAGGUGAGAAGCCCAAGUACAUACGUAACGCCUCGUACCUGGGGGCCGUGGAAGAGUUGGCCGACCACGGUCACGUCAACCAGGCCGAUGUGAAGGCUGGCAUGCAGAAAGUGCUGCAGGUGUUCAUCACCAACGCCGGGAACAUCUUCUUGUUAGAUGCUGCCAACAGCCACGAACUUAAUGAGCAGGUUGAUUUAUGCAAAAGAGUGCUGAACAUCUACAGACAUAUAGUGAUGAAUGUGCAAAUGGUGCAGAAGACUUGGGAACAGUUGCUUCUUGUGUUGCUAAGAAUAACAUCAGGAGUGUUGCAGACACAGCAAGCAAGUCAUAAACAGCAAGCUUUGGGACGCAACUUGGCACAGGCUAUUUUUCAGACAAUAAUUGUGACGUGGAUCAAAGCCAACUUGAAUGUUUUCAUCUGUUCAAACCUCUGGGACGAGUUACUGAACGUCUUGUCAAGUCUGACAUCCUGGAUUGAACUUAUUAAAGAGUGGUCGAAAACAAUGGAGACGUUAACCCGUGUGUUGGCCAGGCAGGUUUAUGGUUUGGACUUGAUGGAUCUGCCUUUAGUCAGACUUAGUGAGCAGAAAGAAAAACGGAGACGAGGACAAUCAUUUUAUAAUUCAGGAAGAUCAACAGACGACCAAAAAUUCACUGAUGAUUGGAGUCAAGGUCAAGGAAAAGCCGACAUUCCAUCAAAAAGUUCAACGACUAAUUCAGCAAAUCAAGAUGCAAACUUUGAGCGUGGAAAGUUUAAAAGUGAUGGUGCAGGAGGAGGCCGUUCCCGGCCAGACCUUCACAAACAGCGGUCUCUCAGUGGGGAGCCGUCGCCAGCCCACUCCAGGUCCGAGUCGAACGUCACAGACGUCCUAGUGCGCAGCAGUAGCGAAGGAACCAUUGCUGAUCCUAAAGAACUCAUCGAAAAACUCAGAGGUGUCAACUUGAAUAGAGAGCCUAACAGAAGUGCAGACAUACCUGCAUGUGGUGCCGCUGAUGCAAUAGACUCGAUAUCUGGAGCCUCCGCUGCGGUGGAAGACCACGAGGUGGCUGAACUGACGACCACGUGUACAGCGGAACUUGCCAGCGCCAGCGGAAUCAACCCAGACGGGGGUGCGCAGUCAGAGAUGGACAACAUCAGCCUGGACAAGUCAGACUCUGACAUGGUCGUCAAAUGUUCUCACACACCAUCUCCAACAUCUGUACACUCGCCGAACGGAUCACGGUCGCCGUCCCCAGUAGCUGAGCUCAUUCUCGACCAGCCUCGCAACGACAGUCUAACCCCGGACCGCGACAGUCUGCACAUUGACAUGGUGGAAGGAUCAAACGAGGCAAUCAUAACGAGAGCAGACUCAACUCAAGAGUAUAGAAGUGUGAUGGCUGGUGGUACCCUGUCAGGCUGGACACCUGAUGUGGCUGUUGUUUUGUGGAAGCGGAUGCUCGGUUGCCUAGGUGACGUCAACAAUAUUGAGGACCCAGUCAUCCACGAGACUGUUUUCGACUACCUUGGUGAUCUUUUGGCUAUUCUCAUCAGGUUGAGAGAAAACCUUGGAGUAACCCAAGAUAAUACCUCCACACCACCUCCUCCAGAAUUAAUCCCUCCACAGCAAAUAUUCGGAAGCUGGGUGUUCAAGUGCCUUACACUAAGCCAGAAAUACAAGAAUGGCAAACUGAAGGCGUAUCAGCUGCUCUGUCAGAUGUUUGUGAGACGACACGAUGUUCAACCCAGCAAGGAUGUCCUCUCUCAGUUUAUUUACGUACUGCAUCAAGGACUCAUCUCUGUAGACCAGGAUGUGGUUAAUGUGUUGGUGCGGCAUUGUGGAACAAAACCCUUCUCGCUGGCCCUGCCUGGCAGCAGUUUACUCAUCCUGGACUUCAUCCACGCUGCAGGAACAGUAAUCUCUUCACCUGAUGCCAAAGUGCCACCGCGUGAAGAAGCUGUGUCGGUGCUUGGUUCAUUGCUGUGUUUCUCCAAUCAUUUUAAUAAGCUGCCAGUACUACAGCCCAACACAAUGGACAUGACACAGUUAUCAUCUAAAGACUUGAAGGAACAUAUCAUUAAUUUAUUGUUGAAAGCAGGAAAACGAGAGCCAGCUGGUCUGGCUAGGUGUAUUGCUGUUAGUAGUGUUGGGAUUUUCCUCUAUGAGGAGCUGUCACAUGACACAUCUCACCCGAAGAUUAAAGAAAGUGUCCAUGUUCUGCUGGCUAGUCUCAGGUGUGGAUACCGGAAAUCUGCCAAAGUGGCGUCUGACAUGUUGACCCUUCUCUGUGAUCACUGCAGUAAGCUGAUGAAGUAUUACCCAUCUCUGCCGAAGACCAUAGUGGAGUUUAUUGCUCAGACCAUAUCGACGUUACUCAACCAUGAAAAUUUGGGAUCUGAUGAGGAAAAAAGGUUGAUAGUGGACAUGAUGUUCUGCAUGGUGGAGUGGUGCAUGAAAAUGCCAAUUACCCUGCUCAUGGAGUCCACUGUUGAGGAUCGCAGUUGUCUGUAUAAGGUUUUCAGGAUUUUGCAUUCAUCAGUGACUGGUCACUCUGCCUCGUCUCUGACCCGCUCAAGUAAGUCUUUGGCCGAUUUUAUGCAGGACCUGGAGGGUGACAUGUGUGACAGUCCCGGUGGAUCCCCCAGGCAGUCUAGUCAUGAGUCUGGAGUCGAGAUGGUGGACGAACCAAAAGACCCGGUCUUUGAAACACCAAGAAAACCAGAAACGGACAUUGUCAAAUUGGCAGCCAGAACUUUGAUGACACACCUAGUGAACCACCUGUGUCACUUUCCCAUGGGGUCUGGAGCAGUCAGGUUGAACAGCAAUACACAAGAACACCACGACUUGCCAAAUUUCAGCGAGGACGAACUCAAAAGUGAUAUUUUUUCUGCUCACAACAUACAGUUCUUUGUAAUGAACCACAGAUCCCUGAUCUCAUUUAUCGAGUUGCCUGCCAUGGACGCGCCUGGUGGAGGUGUGACGGCGGGACUGUCCACCGCCAGGACGGUGUGUCGCGUCGUCAUCCGUGACCUCUGUGGCAAGUUCUGCUGGGAAAGUUCUGUCUUGUACAGCCCACCCUGGUACAAGAAGGGCUCCUCUUUAUGCAAUGCGAAGACUCUGUUGGGUAUGAGAAGUGAAGUUGAGCUUGAGCCUCUGGUCAUAACGGAGGAGUCUGAUACAAGUCUACCUGCCCCCGCCCAGUCGCGGCCUGCGUCAGAGCUGCCUCUGUACGAAACCAUCACAGAAAAUGACGACAACUUGGAUCAUCUGUUGCGUUACAUCGCCCACACAAGCCCCGAGUGUGUGCUGAGUGUCGGGAGUCCACUGAACAUCCCGGCCCAGCUACCGGAGAAGAUGUGCGUGAACGCGGAGAGCGUGAUGACCGAGAUGGUCACACAGCAGAAGGUGGCUGAGAUUGACUACUACAGCAUUCACAAGAACGACGUCAGACAAACGGAGACAUACCAUUUGCUUGCCAAGCCCCAGAUGCCGAUGGAGAUACACGACCCUGUGUCCCCGUUCCAGAUGUGUCGGCUAGUCCUGGAUCAGCUGGGUCUCUUGUCUUGGGAGAAAAGAGUCCAUUUUGAUUUGCUUAAAAAGAGUGAUAAAUUGGUCAGAGAGCUGAAGAAUCUAGACAGUCAGAUGUGCCGUGAGACACACAAGAUUGCCGUUAUUUACGUAGCCGCAGGACAGGAAGAUCGGAGUUCCAUCCUCUCCAACUCUGGUGCUAGCAAACCAUUUGAGGAUUUUGUGGCAGGAUUGGGUUGGGAGGUUGAUCUAGGAAGCCAUCAAGGAUUCCGUGGUGGUCUGCAGGCGAACAAGACGACGGGCAGCACGGCGCCGUACUAUGCAACCUCCACAUACGAAGCUGUGUUCCACGUCUCCACGCGCAUCCCUUCAGGCUCCGACGAAUCUCGCAAUAUCAAGACACGUCACCUUGGCAACGAUGAAGUGCACAUUGUGUGGUCUGAGCACUCUCGUGACUACCGCCGAGGAAUUAUCCCCACAGAAUUUGGGGAUGUUUUAAUUGUGAUAUACCCCCUUCCUAACGGUCUGUACCGGAUACAGAUCGAUAGAAAACCAGAGGUUCCUUAUUUUGGGCCUCUCUUUGAUGGUGCAAUAUUGGACCGUUUGGUCCUCCCUGGUCUAGUCCGAGCCACAGCGAUCAAUGCGAGUCGUGUGAAGCGCUCCAGUAUGCCUUUCUAUCACUCAUUUUACGAGGAACGUGCCAAGUGCCUGGAGACCAUCAUUCAACAACACACAGAACAAACUACAUUCGAGGAGUUCGCUGCCAAUGUCUUUGCUCCUGUGUUGCCACCUAAUUCUACAAUUGUUGAUACUCCCCCCGUGUCGGAGAUCACAGUGAAUACAAUCCCAACGGAGUUGAGUGGUAUCGACCAGACCGAUCACAUGUCUCCCCCGACACUCAGACACAGCAGAGUCUUCCAUAAAUGAUGUUUGGACACCAAUAAGCAUUUUAAAAGUCAAGCUUGAUAUGCUGCCAAUCAUUUGGAAAUGCCACCGCAAGCGAGUCAACACUACAGGAUGGACACACAGAUUCCCGCUUCAUCCGAACAGCACGUCGCCUCUCCAUGAAGAGCCGCAAAUCCUCGGCCAGAUGAUCAUCAGUAUUACUGAAACGGUGAACGUGAAGGAACAGUUAUCACCAUACCUCUGUUACCUCGGUGUUCAGUCAGCAGGGCCCACUGGAAAAUCUUAUCUGACGUUUCUAGCAGCUGAUUCAGUGUUUACUGCUCAAAGUUUCAGGUCUAAAUGUAACACUAUCUUCAGGAAGUUAGUUUGCUUUGUCUGUGUGUUUAUUUCUCAUUGUCCUCUGACUGUCUUCCAAAAAUAACCUACUGUGUCUUAAUGCAAUGACUUUAGUCCUGAUGGUGUGCUAUUAGUCCAAUUGUGCUAUUCUUAUCAUUGUCAAGGUGUUCUUUACCAUUGGAAAUAGGAGGCUGUUUAGAAGUGGUUAUAUUUACUAAAUGCAGAGAAGUGUAAGCAUACAAAAAAUAGAUGGUAGCUUCAUUAAUAGCUGCCAAAAAUCACUGCCUGUUGCCUAUUAAUGUUUUAAAAAAAUAUAUAAUAGUUGUAAUCAUUAAUGAACAAGGAUGCUGUCUGGUGUACCAACUAAGCAGUGCAUCAAUUGAAGUACAGUAUAACCUUUUUAUGUACCUCUGGACCCAUUUUCAUGAUAACUGGAUAGGGCCCUUACAAGCAUUUAACUUGUAUGUAGCAGAUAAAAUCGAAAUGUUGGUAUAGGAGUUAUUUGCGUUUAAAUUCAUCUGGUCGUAUUGUAAAUAAACAUUUUAAAAUAAUGUGGAUAAUGUAGUUACCCUCCAGUGUCCAAACAAUUUCCACGUCUGGUGAUUUGGAAUAGUAGAUCUGACUUGGUAACCCCAUGAUCUUGUUGUGCUUUCUUAAUGUUUAUACUUCUGUCCCAUGAUUAUUUUUUAUUUUUCUUUCUUCGAAAGUUGUGAUAUUUAACGAACACCCAAUACCAUCUCAUCUGUUUCAGCAUAAUGCUCUUGUAUAACACAGUUUGUCCUGACUACAGGUGUAUCAUGUACAUCUGUGUUCAGCAUAAUGCUCUUGUAUAACACAGUUUGUCCUGACUACAGAUGUAUCAUGUACAUCUGUGUUCAGCAUAAUGCUUUUGUAUAACACAGUUUGUCCUGACUACAGGUGUAUCAUGUACAUCUGUGUUCUUAAGGGCUGACACUGCAUCUUGAAAUGUUUUAAAUGAAAAAAUACAUUCUGAUGCAAGGAGUACUUUUUUGUUCAGCCAUGACUGAUGAACAGUGAGCUCUGUCCACCAGUGUUUAUUGCCAAAAUGGAAACAACUAACCCAAGCUGUGAAUGCUGCAUGUCUGCUCUACAUUUCGGACACAUCAAAUGGAGCAUAAAACAUGACAAUUUGCAUUUAGGUGCAACAAGUUUUCACAGUUUGCUCCACUUUUCACAACUGUAGGUUUUCGACCACUGAAACAGUUGAUAGUUUACCUGUGUAUGUUCACCACAAUGCAUGUUUUUGGGGUUUUUUUAAAGUGUUAAAUAAAAUAAUGUAAUGUUUAGCUCAAUUUAAAAAACAUUGUAUUUACUUCUUUUUUUUAUCAAUUUCUCACAAACUACAAGUCUUAGAUCUGAUUUUCAUCAUGGGAUAAAAUAAUAAAAAUAAUCAUAAAACACUUAACAUGACGUUCUGAAUAUGAUCAUGCAAAUAUCAAGUACAAAGUUAAUAAAGUUAAAAACACUAGACAUGACCACCUAAAGGAGUAUUAAACGGUAGCCUCUUAUGAUGAAUAACCUGAGCAGAUUUGAGUGGAAUAACAUACAGUGGAUAAUAAUACAGUGGACUCUGUCUAAACCGGAUGUCUGUGAAAUAAUCGAUUGCAAGUCUGGCUUGUAUGACUGUGUUUCCCAACCAUCCAUGGGUUCAAAUGUCAUUGUUGAUCGCGAGUUGUCAAUCAUUCAAGAACCAUAAGUCUGGAUGAACUCUGUCUAAACCGGUCCUCUAUGUAAACCAGACUACUUUAACGGUACGAAGUCAGUCCGGUUUAGACAGAGUCCACUGUAUAUUUGUUUUUUGGACAAAGAUUUUCAUCUCAAGUUGCAGGUACAUAUAUUGGAAAUAAAAUUCCAGGGGACUAUUUUUUAAAUCUUUUUAGUUCCCUACUGGACCAACCAGAGGGAUUAUGGGUUUUCUCCAUCCUUCUACCUGUCUGUCUGUCUGUCUGUGUCCAACUGCCUCAAGAUAGUGAGCUAACAUUUUGGGUAAAGCUUUAUCGGGUACUGUUACAGAAGAAGUUUGUCUUUCAUGAUGAUUUCAUGAUGAUUAAAUAAUCAGUGGUCUCUAAUAUUGGUGUUAAACAAAACAAACUUUAACAUGACAUUUUACCCAUUUUCAACACAGUUAUGGCCCUUGAACUUAGGACAUACAAACAAUUUGUUUUCUAGACUUUUUUUUUUUUGACUUUGACUCCAGACUCAAGAUAUUAAGUUGAAACUUUGUGUAUAGCUUUAUACUGUUGCAGAUCAAAUUUGACUUUGGCACAUAGGGGACAUAUAUUGCUUUGUUAGUACUCUCAAAUGCUUUUUUCUUCAUAAAAACUAUGCUAAUAUUUGAUGCCGUUACUUUUGAUUCAUGGGGAAUUUUUUUUGGUUGGGGAGGAUUUUUGUUUUAAAUAUAUAGAAGACCAGAUAAUAGUUUUUAAGUACCGGGUAAUGUUAUGUUUGUUUUUGGGGGGUUUGGUUGGGUUUUUGUUUGUUUGGGGUGUUUUUAGGGGGAGGGAUGAGUUGGGGUUUUUUUUAAAGAAGUAUUUGGGAACAUGUAUAAGGAUUUCUUAAUGUUGAAUCAGCUGAGUUGUUACAACUGAUUAUUGUAAACCUCCAUAUUAAUACUUGUUAUUGUGAGUCUCAUCCAUACAAGACAAGGUGCAUUCGUAAAUAUUUACAUUAUUUACAUUUUAUGAACAGCUGUCUUUUAAAGUUUAUGAGGCUUUAAUAUUUGUCGGCUUGAGUUAGGUUAUGAGAACCAAGAACUGUUUUUGCAAACUGUUAACAAUGGAUAUUUUUAGUCACAAUUAUGAAACCAAGCAGUAUUUAGAGAAUACUCAAUGACCUACAAGUCGAUGCUGUUUAUCUUACAUGAGAGUGAACUGAUGUCCUAUGCAAGUCGUAGAUGAGGGGUGGACAUGAGUUCAUGAAUGCAAAAUAAUAUAAACAGUAUUUGCUGAGUAGCAACUUUGGUAUUUUAUUUAUUACCAUAUCUAUUGUCAUCCUGAUAUCAUUUCAUGGAGAAAAAAAUUCAAACAAUAUUGAAAUCUACAAGUUUGUUAAGCUGAGAAAAGAUACAUUGAAAUUUGAUUAGUAAUGUCAGUCUCCCCAACCCCACAUUGUUUUCAGCCUAAGAUAAAUAUAUUGACACCAUCUACAAACUAUUGCAGAUCAAAAUAAAAAAUAAUUUCAGAUUUUCAGGCAUAUUAUAACAUCACAACACUAAAAAUCAUAAAAUUAACAAUGUUAUCUGGGGGUUGGAAUGAUAGGGAUUGUGUUCGUUGAGAUGUUCUCAAGAACAGCUGAACAAAUUGCAGUUAAACAGUCAUGGUCUAGUUUCAUAUUAUAUGUAGAUAUUCAUAUCUACUCUGAUCAUGAAUUGCAUGAAAUUUUGUGUAAAACAUCAUCUGGUGUUACUAGAAAAUAAUUGCAUGCCAUAUCCAAGUCCAUUGAAAGUAGCAUGUUAUAUUGCAGAUGCACAUAGCAAGUAUUUGCUAUGCUGCAGCACGGCUCUUGUUGGUGUGAUAUUUGUACUCGACAGAUUAAGUAGUAUUAAUAUUUUAUUCAUCUCAUUCUUCUUUUCAUCUUAAAUUGUGAAGUAUUGUGUGGACAUGUCACUCAUUUGCAAUCAUACAUCAUGGAACAUCUCAUUACUUCAGUGUCUAAAUUAUAAAAUGAAUACCGGUAAGUUUGUAACAGCGCAUUUAAUUGUUUUAGGAUUAAAAGAUCACCUCUAGAAAGAUUAUCUCAGACAUUAGAUUUUUUUAUUAUUAACCAGAGGUGAAAUUCCUAAAAAAAAAUAUAACUGGAUUUCUGUAUUUCAGCAGUACCCCAAAACUAUCCCUAUCCUUGUUUUUUUUAAAACUUAUUGUGAUCCCCUACUUUUCAAAACCCUGCAAAAUUUUCUGGAUUUUAUCCAAUGUAAUUUUUAUCCCUGUUUAAUGGAUUUUGACGAAGAUGUAAACGACCAAAUUUACUUGUUUUUUUCUUAACCACAGGUGGUUAAGAGUUGUAAAUUCGGACCAAUAUUUUUUUUGUUUUUUUUAUAAAUAACUAGUAUGGUCAGAUUUGUAAUUUGUUGGUAGUGUGAAUUUCAUGAAUGAUAGUCAUCAUCAUCAUAUAAUGUGAACUGCCUUAAAUUACUUGCAUUUGAAAUAUAGUCAGAUUAAUUUGCAAAUAAUUAAUUGUAAUUUUAGUCUUAUUUAUUUUGUGACAAUCUUGUACUUGUUUGUUGUUGUCAGCACCAAUACAGCAAUAUUACCAGUGCUACAAUGUGUCGAGUGCCUUUUACCAAAAGGGAUUAUUUGUGCAAUACCAUUAACAUUGUUUACAAAUGAAGUGUUUUGAGAAUGUUUUCUUGCAUCAUUCUCUUCAAAUACAUGUAUAAUGAAAUCCCAUAAUUAUAGUUAUUGACAUUUUAGUGUGAACACUUUCUUUCAUAUUAGUGUUUUUGAGUACUGUACCGUCUAUUUGUUUAAUAAGUCAAAAAUUAAAAUCCUUUUGGUUUACUGUGUUCCCAGAUACACAAUUUAUCAUAUAACUGAAAGAGGUGGUGGGAGUGAGCUGGGAAAUUUUUGUAAGUCAAUUGAAUGUCAACAUUAUGAUUAACUUGUAAAAAUCAGACAUAUUAACCAUGGUUUCAGUUUAUCACAAAUCCGUCGUCAGUUUACUUUUCUCAUAUUAAAGUAUUCAUAUGAUAACUUGUUGAAAUAAAUGCUCAAAAUAUUUCCGUGGUACCAUUGCAUACAGUUUGUAAAAUGUUAUUUGUGAUUGCCAUGUAACAGCAUUAUUAAUCCUAUAUGUUGAUGUAAUCAUUACUUUAUGCAUGCAGAAUAAUAUAUAUAUACCAGAUUAUGAUAUCAUGUAUCCACAUGUAGUUAUUUAUUUCAUUGUUUAGUGAUCAUAUUGUAUUGACCGACGCAAAUGGAUCUUUGUUUAAAGAGUUGUUAAUUAAUAAACCGUAUAUGGUU